GUGAAACCGUUUAGGGGUAAACCUGAGAAACCCGAAAGUUCGAACGGGGAGAUUCAGCGUGUCUCGGCAAGUACGAGUGCUGUGUGGUAGACGAUUGUCGUUCGCGGCGUUCGCUCCAUGCAUGCGCCGUUGCUUUACGAACGCGUGCACUUCUCCUCCAGUAGGACGUCGCGACCCGUUGGAUGUCGGUCUGAGGCUUGCGGUGGAGCCCGUUCGUCGUUUACGGCGUGCGGACCCGUAAUGUCCCGGCCGACUGUUCGACGGUAAGACUAAGGCGCAGAGCCGCGACUAGCUCGCGUCUGGCCCGAUGCAAGCGCGAUCGUUUACUCGUUCAUCGGACUUGUGCCGAUUUCGGGGCCGAUCGGCUGCUGGUGUCGGUGUUCCCGGACAGACUCUGUACACGCCUGUCAGCGGCGCUAUAGCUUUGGGUACUUUCAGGACCCGUCUUGAAACACGGACCAAGGAGUCUAGCAUGUACGCGAGUCAUUGGGAAUAUCUAAUCCUAAAGGCGUAAUGAAAGUGAAGGCAGAGCUUGGCUCGGCCAAGGGAAGAUGGGUGGUUUCGGCCGCCUCGCACUCCCGGGGUGUCUCAUUCUCAUUGCGAGGAGAGGCACACCUAGAGCGUACACGCUGGGACCCGAAAGAUGGUGAACUAUGCCUGGUCAGGACGAAGUCAGGGGAAACCCUGAUGGAGGUCCGUAGCGAUUCUGACGUGCAAAUCGAUCGUCGGAAC
rnacentral:rRNA from 1 species